rnacentral:tRNA from 1 species
CGGGCAUGGUCUAGUGGUUAUGACGCCUGCUUUACACGCAGGAGAUCCCGAGUUCGAUCCUCGGUGCCCGUAU